rnacentral:rRNA from 1 species
GCAGCAGGCGCGAAAACUUUACACUGCGGGAAACCGUGAUAAGGGGACACCGAGUGCCAGCAUCAUAUGCUGGCUGUCCAGGUGUGUAAAAUACACCUGUCAGCAAGGGCCGGGCAAGACCGGUGCCAGCCGCCGCGGUAAACCGGCGGCCCGAGUGGUGAUCGUGAUUAUUGGGUCUAAAGAGUCCGUAGCCGGUUUGGUCAGUCCUCCGGGAAAUCUGACGGCUCAACCGUUAGGCUUUCGGGGGAUACUGCCAGGCUUGGAACCGGGAGAGGUAAGAGGUACUACAGGGGUAGGAGUGAAAUCUUGUAAUCCCUGUGAGACCACCUGUGGCGAAGGCGUCUUACCAGAACGGGUUCGACGGUGAGGGACGAAAGCUGGGGGCACGAACCGGAUUAGAUACCCGGGUAGUCCCAGCCGUAAACGAUGCUCGCUAGGUGUCAGGCAUGGCGCGACCGUGUCUGGUGCCGCAGGGAAGCCGUGAAGCGAGCCACCUGGGAAGUACGGCCGCAAGGCUGAAACUUAAAGGAAUUGGCGGGGGAGCAC